rnacentral:misc_RNA from 1 species
AGGCUGCAUGUGCUUUUUGAUAUUUUGGACUGCAUCAACGCCUCAAGUCGGGCAUUCCGCCUCUCCGCCAUUCAGGCUAGGGGGAGGUGAUAACUCGCGUUGAGGGCUCUUCACGUGUGUUCCUUACUCUUGAGCUUCGGUGUUGCUCUGUGAAGCACACAAACAAACAAAUUAAAGCCCGCCCUGAACCCUCGAACCCCCCCCCCCUUUCCGCGCUGUCUGCUCGCCGCGCGCCUGCUCCAGAGGAAACACACAAACAACAACACCAACGCCCAAAAGUCGAGCAAAGGCCUAGGUUGCGACUAGGCAGCCGCUACCGUUCCGUUCGGCUAUCAAGCCGCCUAGACCAUGGAUUUGCUUUCCCCCACCGUCUCUGUCUCUCUCCCUGUAUCCCUCUCUCACACACAGGAUGGAGGGAGAGGGGUGGGGAGGUUGUCUUUAGCGUACAAAACGAGAACCUUAAACGGGGAACAUGGUGGCACGGCGCGCGGGUCUGCGCCCUUCCCCCCUCGCUCCGCACCUCUGCUGCGUACGAGAUUUUCCCAUCUCGCUGAAUCGCACGGUAGCUCGCUGACAUGGGCAACUUUCCCGCCAUCCGUUCCAUUUUGAGACGUUGCCUAGGUAUCGUUUGAACACGCAAGAGCAUGCGUUUGGCACUCGGCAUGUGCACCCUCGCGGCUGCACUCGCACGUGGCGUAAGCUAAGUGAUUAGAAGUCCUAUGCUUUGCACUUGCCCCACUUGCGCUCCCCCUUCCCUAAGGACAGGGAGAGGGCACACCCCUCAGUGCGUGGCAUCUCAGGGUCCAGUAACCUCACCAUGUGAGGCGACGCCAUGCAGCAGCUGCCCCCCUCUAUCCCCCUGCCGGUGCCGAACCACUUCUGGCGGUGACAGGGUUAAGCACCAACGACGUAAGGGCCGUCAGAGGGUCUCACUGCCUUACUGGCGUGAGGGGCCUGAGUGCCACCCCGAGGGGGAUGUACACCAGGUGUGGUGACCGGCAUGAUGGGGGAGCCGCUGUGAGGCGACCUGCGGAGCCGAGUGUGGGUAGAGUUCGAGCUCGAGGCCGAGGCCGAGGCCGUGCUCAGGUGGCUGAGUGGACGCAGUGCUGUAAGGCGCGUGCCCCCAGGGCUGCUUGGCACGACGCGAUGGUGCCUGCGACGGUCCCGGGGCGGGGUGUUGGGGGUCGAGUGGCGCUUGACCUCGUGCUGUACGGCAGCGACAUGGGCACGGCAUAUGAACACAGAAAAAAAGUAACUUUCCUUCCUCUUUUUGGCUCUCUAACCAG